CUGAACAGGCGGGCCUCGAUCCCAC
rnacentral:tRNA from 1 species